ensembl:lncRNA
GUAAGAGAAGGAGCCCUUCCAGCUAAAUAAGGAAGAAUCUCAAUGGAAAUCCUGUUUCUGCAGAAAAGAGGCAGAGGAUUUUCCUGCAUCCCGCUGUCUGCUGGCGUCUAGCCACCUUCAACAGCAAAUGUACUGAGAGCAGCUGCUGGACUCUUCCAAGUUUCUCUUUUCAGUUUCUCAUGACACAACAGAUCUGCCACUGGCUACAACUCUAUACAUGCCUCGGGCUCAGCUUCCUGGAAACAAAACAGAACAAAAGAGUCAGAAUAGGUCCGUCAUCAACACAAAAACAGAAUUGCAAUAUAUUUUUAUGCCCGUGUGAAAAACCUGUGGCCACCUUCUCUUUGGCUGAGUACAACACUUAAGAUUCGUUGGUAGAAGGAAGAGAGAAAGGAUGUAUGAAGCAUGUUGGUUCUCAACGGCAUGGUCGGGAUGGUGGAAGACCAGGAGACUGCACGUGAAUAACAGAAUCAUAGAACUGCUCAGCUUGCAAAAGACCUUCAAAAUCAUCAAGUCCAACCACAACCUAACCAUACUACCCUAACUCUAACAACCCUCUGCUAAAUCAUGUCCCCGAGCACCACAUCCAAACGGUUUCUGAACACAUUUUUUUUCUCUCCCUUUCCCUUUCCCCUUCCCCUUCCUUUCUCCAAUCCCCCCCUCCACCCCGUCCCCCCCGCCGCCCCGUGAGCCGCCGUGCUCCGUUCCCGGUCCCGCAGCGCCGCCCCGUGGCCGCAGCCGGGCGGUUCCCCGUGGCUUUUACCUGUGGAUGUCGGAACACCGCGAGCGGCCUCGGCUUUUCGACCGAGUACUGAGCGAGGAACAGGGAAGCAGAGGAAGCAAAACAAUGCCACCAUGCACUGUAUUAUCUACUUGUCAUUAACUCCUACUACAUAUGCAGAGUGUAGCUAAGCUUAAAUACGGAUAUGAGAUUGUUGUGCUUCUUUGCCUCUAUCAAUUUGCAGUGUCUGAUGUGUAAUUGCAAGAAGAUGACAUCAGUCUUGCCCGGACGGAUCACGAGGUGUGCUGCUCACUGUCCCAUCCCUGACAAAAGCCAGUAACAAAUGUAUGUGAGACCGAGCUUUUUGGGCCCGGGCACAGUUCGAACAGCCACAGCACACUGCAGUGAGCAGUUUCUCCAUUUAAGUUGAAUUAAGAAGUCGCUGUCAGAAGAGCACCUCCUUUCUUUUUUUUUCUCACCAGCUGAGUCUUGAACGUAAGGCUUGUCUGCUGUCUUUAUCUGUUGUCUGUUCGGAACUUCUUUUGUACCUUCAUAAAUCAACAUCUGGUGAUUUGCCUUUCCUACCCGACUCGUGACGUUACAGAUAUCCCUCCCACUUUUCCAUCCUGUCAUGUAUUUUCACAUUGCAAAGUCUUGCUUUGAACAAUUCUUGAUAUAGGAACGAAUCCUCCAUCUUCUUCUGUUGCC